rnacentral:rRNA from 1 species
UGGGGAAUAUUGCACAAUGGGCGCAAGCCUGAUGCAGCCAUGCCGCGUGUAUGAAGAAGGCCUUCGGGUUGUAAAGUACUUUCAGCGGGGAGGAAGGGAGUAAAGUUAAUACCUUUACUCAUUGACGUUACCCGCAGAAGAAGCACCGGCUAACUCCGUGCCAGCAGCCGCGGUAAUACGGAGGGUGCAAGCGUUAAUCGGAAUUACUGGGCGUAAAGCGCACGCAGGCGGUUUGUUAAGUCAGAUGUGAAAUCCCCGGGCUCAACCUGGGAACUGCAUCUGAUACUGGCAAGCUUGAGUCUCGUAGAGGGGGGUAGAAUUCCAGGUGUAGCGGUGAAAUGCGUAGAGAUCUGGAGGAAUACCGGUGGCGAAGGCGGCCCACUGGACGAAGACUGACGCUCAGGUGCGAAAGCGUGGGGAGCAAACAGG